UACAGAGGGGGCCAGCGUUAUUCGGAAUUAUUGGGCGUAAAGGGCGCGUAGGCGGCCUGGCAAGUGUAAGGUGAAAUCCCUCGGCUUAACCGAGGAACUGCCCUCCAAACUGCUUGGCUUGAGUCCGGGAGAGGUGAGUGGAAUUCCCAGUGUAGCGGUGAAAUGCGUAGAUAUUGGGAGGAACACCAGUGGCGAAGGCGGCUCACUGGACCGGAACUGACGCUGAGGCGCGAAAGCGUGGGGAGCAAACGGG
rnacentral:rRNA from 1 species